rnacentral:rRNA from 1 species
UAGGGAAUCUUCCGCAAUGGACGCAAGUCUGACGGAGCAACGCCGCGUGAGUGAAGAAGGAUUUCGGUUCGUAAAACUCUGUUGUUAGAGAAGAACAGCGCAUAGAGUAACUGUUAUGCGUGUGACGGUAUCUAACCAGAAAGCCACGGCUAACUACGUGCCAGCAGCCGCGGUAAUACGUAUGGAGCGAGCGUUGUCCGGAAUUAUUGGGCGUAAAGGGUACGCAGGCGGUUAGAUAAGUCUGAAGUUAAAGGCAGUGGCUCAACCAUUGUAGGCUUUGGAAACUGUUUAACUUGAGUGCAGAAGGGGAGAGUGGAAUUCCAUGUGUAGCGGUGAAAUGCGUAGAUAUAUGGAGGAACACCGGUGGCGAAAGCGGCUCUCUGGUCUGUAACUGACGCUGAGGCUCGAAAGCGUGGGGAGCGAACAGG